GGAUGCGGUAACUCUGACUGUAAUAAAGUAGCAUAAUUAAUUGUCAUUUAAUUGGUGAAGAGAAUGAAUGGUUAUACGAAUUUUUCACUGUCUUGAAAGAAAUUUUUUAAAAUUGAAAUAAUAGUAAAGAUGCUAUUUAAAAUUGUAAGACGAAGAGACCCUAUAGAGCUUUACUAUAAACUUUUUGAAUUAAAAAUAAUAAAAAUUUAUUUAUUUAAAAAAGUUUGGUAGUUUAGUUGGGGCGACUGUUUUUUAAAAAAAACAAAAACAUGCAAAGUAAUAAAUUUAUUUAUUGUAUAAUUAAAAUAUUUAACAAUUAUUAUAGUAGGCUAUAGUGACCCGUUAAUUUAAUAAAAUUUAGUUAACGAUUAAUUAAUAAAAGUUACCUUAGGGAUAACAGGA
rnacentral:rRNA from 1 species